rnacentral:rRNA from 1 species
AGAGUUUGAUCCUGGCUCAGGACGAACGCUGGCGGUGUGCUUCACACAUGCAAGUCGAGCGAAUGAAGAAGGUAGCUUGCUACUUUUGGAUUUAGCGGCGGACGGGUGAGUAAUAUAUAGGAAUCUGCCCUAGAGCGGGGAACAACAGACCGAAAGGUUUGCUAAUGCCCCAUAGGUACGCAGUCUUCGGAUUGUUUAUUAAAGGAGUAAUCCACUCUAGGAUGAGCCUGUAUCCGAUUAGCUAGUUGGCGGGGUAAAGGCCCACCAAGGCUACGAUCGGUAGUUGGUCUGAGAGGAUGAUCAGCCACAAUGGGACUGAGACACGGCCCAUACUCCUACGGGAGGCAGCAGUGGGGAAUUUUACACAAUGGGGGAAACCCUGAUGUAGCGACACCGCGUGAACGAAGAAGCCUUUUGGGGUGUAAAGUUCUGUCGGCUGGAACGAAAAAAAUGACGGUACCAGCAAAGGAAGCAUCGGCUAACUACGUGCCAGCAGCCGCGGUAAGACGUAGGAUGCAAGCGUUGUCCGGAUUUAUUGGGCGUAAAGAGUUCGUAGGCGGUUAUUUAAGUCUGGUGUUAAAUACUGUGGCCCAGCCACAGAACUGCAUUGGAUACUGGAUGACUUGAGUGCGGUAGAGGCGAGUGGAAUUCCCAGUGUAGCGGUGAAAUGCGUAG